GACGAACGCUGGCGGCGUGCUUAACACAUGCAAGUCGAACGGACAGGCCCUGCUUUUGUGGGGUUCUCGAGUGGCGAACGGGUGAGUAACACGUGAGUAACCUGCCCUUGACUUUGGGAUAACUUCAGGAAACUGGGGCUAAUACCGGAUAGGAGCUCCUGCUGCAUGGUGGUGGUUGGAGAAUUUCGGCGGUUGGGGAUGGACUCGCGGCUUAUCAGCUUCUUGGUGGGGUAGUGGCUUACCCAGGCUUUGACGGGUAGCCGGCCUGAGAGGGUGAACGGGCACAAUGGGACUGCGAGACGGCCCAGACGCCUACGGGAGGCAGCAGUGGGGAAUAUUGCGCAACGGGGGGAAGCCUGAGGCAGCAACGCCGCGUGCGGGAUGACGGCCUUCGGGUUGUAAACCGCUUUCGCCUGAGACGAAGCGUGAGUGACGGUAACGGGUAAAGAAGCACCGGCUAACUACGUG
rnacentral:rRNA from 1 species